AACGAACGCUGGCGGCAUGCCUAACACAUGCAAGUCGAACGAGAUCUUCGGGUCUAGUGGCGCACGGGUGCGUAACGCGUGGGAAUCUGCCCUUUGGUUCGGAAUAACAGCUGGAAACGACUGCUAAUACCGGAUGAUGACGAAAGUCCAAAGAUUUAUCGCCAGAGGAUGAGCCCGCGUAGGAUUAGCUAGUUGGUGUGGUAAAGGCGCACCAAGGCGACGAUCCUUAGCUGGUCUGAGAGGAUGAUCAGCCACACUGGGACUGAGACACGGCCCAGACUCCUGCGGGAGGCAGCAGUGGGGAAUAUUGGACAAUGGGCGGAAGCUUGAUCCAGCAAUGCCGCGUGAGUGAUGAAGGCCUUAGGGUUGUAAAGCUCUUUUACCCGGGAUGAUAAUGACAGUACCGGGAGAAUAAGCUCCGGCUAACUCCGUGCCAGCAGCCGCAGUAA
rnacentral:rRNA from 1 species